rnacentral:lncRNA from 1 species
ACAAACCGGCUUCAACUGUGGGCAUAGACAUAAGACGCGUUCAAGUUGACCUCCUGCUGCCUGACUGCAUCAGCGAGAUCUGCUGGCGACUGCAGGGGCGGGGCUACAAACGCUGCUAUGAAGUCGGACACUCUCUCUUCCCGUAGACGUGACGUGACUUGGCUGAGCUUGCGGUGUUCUUCUUCUUCUGGGAUUCCGGCAGGCUGUACGCUAUCCAGCGUAAUGCUGCCCUCCACUGGUCGUAACCAGAACUACUUAAAGGAACUUGGGGCAGGAUCACGAAAUAAGACUCAAUAGCGACACGACGGCCGUUUGGGUAACUGCAGCCAUCAGCCAAGCCGGCGCGGGAGCGCGCAUGAACUCUUCACAGCAGUGCAGCUGAUGCUGUGACACGGUUAUUUGUUUGCUCGCUGUUCACGCGACCGUUUACUGCAAGAAUUCCUCGCAUACCUCCGCGGAACUACCUUGGUAGCCUACAUCAGCGAACAGCAUGAUGUCAAGAGACGAAGAUUUGGAAUUGACUCUGGAAGGAGUGGCACACAUGGAGAUGUACUGCCUGGAUGAGGGUACACUGCGUCUGGUUAGGAUGACGUGGAACAACAUCUUUGCUCUGGAGGACAGCCAAGAUGUGGGCAGCGAUAACCGAGAGUUUCGGUUUGCUUCCUACCGGCGAUUUACGAUCUGGCAGGAUGGGCAUCAGAGAAGAGGGAACUGAAGGCCGAUACCAAGCUGCUGUGUUCUUCGUAUCUGGUUAAACUUCCCUGACCCCUUUGCAAACUACACAGGUUACAAAGAAGCUCCAUUUAGGGUGCAUGACUGAUAUUUUCUGCUGUUUUGUGUCCCUGUGACCACAAUACCUAAAAAAAAAACCAUUUCUUAGCCAAAGAUUACACUUUCAUCCAAAAAUAAAAACAAUUUAUGUACAUUAUGUAUUUUUAUAUUUAUUUUCAAAGUUUACGGUAUUUUUCAAAUUUGCAGUAUGUACAAAGUUUUAUUUUGUAUUUUUUUUUACAUGUUUAUAAUAAAAUAAAUGUGUGGUAAACAAGACAGUCUUGUCUUCUCUCUUUUCUUGCUCACGUCUCUGGAUCAUGUAGCUGAGGCCUUUAUGGAGAGAAGAGAACAGUAGCAUUAGAACACAUACCAAUGCUCCAUAAUCAAAUCUGGUAAUUAUUAUGUUAUAUUAUAACAUUUUACAAUGUUUUGUCUAUAUUCUGAAAAGAUUGAAAUUCCUAAUGACCAAAACUUAGAAAGUGAAAACAUACUAACCCCACAGACACUGGUUCAAUUGGUGAUAAUCGAUGAGAGAGUUUAGCAGCUAUUCGCUUGCUGGGUGUUGAUGCUCUCAUCUCCUUACUUCCUCGAGUAGCAGCUUCAGGAGUCUGCUUCUUCUGAUAGCUGGAAAACAGCAAUAUUUUAAAAAGUUAGAGUCAGUCAGCAAGCUGGCUGUGACUCUGCUACCUUGGUGUCUUUUCUCUUUGGUCAGAACAACUAUGGCCAUGCAAUGUUUGCCUGUAACAAUAAUAAUAUCAAAAUACAUGCCUCAGUCAGUACUAUUGUGUGUUUCACUUUUACAAACAAAUUUCUCCUGCUUUACUUACAACGUAAUGUAUAAUGUCUGGAGCAAUCUUGUGUGUAUGGUACAACACGAGAAAAAUAAAGGCUAAAAGCUCUAUUGAUGAGUUGAGACCACUCUUUUAGCCCACCCACCCCAAAGGACUCAACCACACAGACGUGCUUCACAAGCAAGGUCGUAAUAAUAAUAACAAUAAUAAUAACUUUAUCAGACCUGUAGACACGCACAAUAUCAAUUAUUAUAUAGCACCACCUGAGCUCGUUUACAUUGUGCACUUCACGGUUAGCUCUAAACUGCCUUUUAUUCAGCUACAUCACAACAGUUAUCAUCAACUCGUCAACACAAUAGCCCCCAAGCCAUAGCCUGUAAAUACCGUUACUGUACACCCCAAAUACUGUAUUUACCAGGGACAGGAACGAGACGGGAGCCGGUGCUGUGUGUAUGAUAUAUUUCACUGUACAGAUUGUAAAGCCCACUGAGGCAAUGUGAUUGUGAUUUUGGGCUAUAUAAAUAAAAUUGAUUUGAUAGCCGUAUCCCCUACACUCACGAAGCAGCCGGGAAGCCGGCUCGCUGUGUGUAGCUAGCGGCUAAUAUGACUACACAGACCCAAACAAACCGUUAGCCUGUUGCUACAGCCAGCUGCUAACGUCACCUCCCAGAUACAAGUUGGGCUUUCGGUCCCAUAUCUAAAAGGGCACAUUUCUAACUAUUCGGUUUCAGACUGAAGGACCGUGGAAAAUGCGCAGUCUGUAACUUCUCAGUGUUACAAGCAGUGGACUAAGUUACAUGUUAGCGGCUAGCGCUACGUUAGAAGCUGACGCUACUUUGCACUUUAGCUCACUCCGAGUCCUCGGUGAUCUCAUAAGAUUUUCAAAUCAAGCUCUAAAAAUGACCUGUAAUGUAUUCUUACCUGGUUACAAGGAAAUUAGCCAUGUCAGCAUCCGUUUUCAGUCCCAGUUCAAGCUGAAGCUGCCUCCAUGAGUCGAAGGCAUAUCUAAUGUAUAUUCGCGUGCCAGCCCGGCUUUAGUCAUAACUUCUUUUAGACUCACGACUUGCUACUGAUAAAAACCUUCGUUUUCUUCUUCGUAUUACUUUUUGGUGGACUUUGUGUGGUGGUGGGUCGUUUUCCGGCCGUAGCAGAGUCCAUAACAACACAAACAGUAUUUCCGGUCCACCGCACUUGUCUUCUUCCGGUCUCCAAGCCGUCGAGGACGCGCAUUCAGCG